UACGUAGGGUGCAAGCGUUGUCCGGAAUUAUUGGGCGUAAAGAGCUCGUAGGCGGUCUGUCGCGUCGGAUGUGAAAACCCAGGGCUCAACCCUGGGCCUGCAUUCGAUACGGGCAGACUAGAGUUCGGUAGGGGAGACUGGAAUUCCUGGUGUAGCGGUGAAGUGCGCAGAUAUCAGGAGGAACACCGAUGGCGAAGGCAGGUCUCUGGGCAUUAACUGACGCUGAGGAGCGAAAGCAUGGGGAGCGAACAGG
rnacentral:rRNA from 1 species